CAUAUGCUUGUCUCAAAGAUUAAGCCAUGCAUGUCUAAGUAUAAGCACUCUUUUACUGUGAAACUGCGAAUGGCUCAUUAAAUCAGUUAUCGUUUAUUUGAUAGUACCCUACUACAUGGAUACCUGUGGUAAUUCUAGAGCUAAUACAUGCUUACAACCCCGACUUCGGAAGGGGUGUAUUUAUUAGAUAAAAAACCAAUGCCCUUCGGGGCUCCUUGGUGAUUCAUAAUAACUUCACGAAUCGCAUGGCCUUGCGCCGGCGAUGGUUCAUUCAAAUUUCUGCCCUAUCAACUUUCGAUGGUAGGAUAGUGGCCUACCAUGGUGGCAACGGGUAACGGGGAAUUAGGGUUCGAUUCCGGAGAGGGAGCCUGAGAAACGGCUACCACAUCCAAGGAAGGCAGCAGGCGCGCAAAUUACCCAAUCCCGAUACGGGGAGGUAGUGACAAUAAAUACUGAUACAGGGCUCUUUUGGGUCUUGUAAUUGGAAUGAGAACAAUCUAAAUCCCUUAACGAGGAACAAUUGGAGGGCAAGUCUGGUGCCAGCAGCCGCGGUAAUUCCAGCUCCAAUAGCGUAUAUUAAAGUUGUUGCAGUUAAAAAGCUCGUAGUUGAACCUUGGGCCCGUCCUGCCGGUCCGCCUCACCGCGAGUACUGGUCCGGAUGGGCCUUUCUUUCUGGGGAAUCCCAUGGCCUUCACUGGCU
rnacentral:rRNA from 1 species